GUGUUGAGAAUAAAAUCCCCAUAAUUUAGGAGAUUGUAUAUAGCAUAAUUGUUGUAAUCCCAUCAUAUAUGGGUCAACCUUAAUUCUAGCAUAGCAGUAACUUAUUUCCUAGAAUAUCACUUUGCUGUAACCAUAUAUACAUAUGUAUCUGUACGUUGAAUAUGAUUAUCAAUUCAUUCUCCAAUUUUAUUAUGGUAUCAGAGCACCUUCGUGGUGGCUCUUCAAUUUCCGCUGCAACCUUUGUUUUCUUUCACUCUGAUUGAAACAUCUAGGUUUCUUCUCUAUCUUCUUUCAUCAUGGGCAAUAGCGAUGAGUCUUCUCAAAGCUCUGUCGUCGAGACCUCUAAUUCUUUUUUUAUACACUCUUCAGAUCACCCAGGGCUCUUGCUUGUUAACAAGCGCCUUAAUGGUGAUAACUAUCCCACAUGGAAAAGAUCCAUGAUCAUCGCUCUUACAGCCAAGAACAAGAUUGGCUUUGUCGACGGCUCCAUCGAAACACCUUCGCGAGCAAAGAAACCGGCU
rnacentral:lncRNA from 1 species